AAUCAGGGUCUCACGAGCAUGUCUCUGAAGGUGGCAGGUGUGUGGUCUGUAUCUGGAAUAUUCACCCAGAGGUUCCUUUCACUUUCGUGAACUCCAUAAUUUACCAAUGCACACAAACAACGAUGCUCGCCGUGCAGAACCAGGCGAUGUCAGAAAGCCACUGCAAGCUCCAUUGCAAAGCUCCCUUUGAAGAGUUCCUUUGACUGGUGAAUUUAAUCGUUGAGUAGGUUAUUGGGAAGGGGUAGAACUGGGGAAGGUGGAGCCUGUUGGAAGGAGUCACUGGAACAUAUCCGUGGGUCCUAGAUCUUGCCUUGGCCCCUUCCUGUUCCUGCUCCAUUCUGCUUCCUGUCUGUCCCGAUGCCAGGCGCAUCGGCCGCCCGACUCCUCCUACCACAACGGACUAAACCAUCUGACACCAUGAGCCGAGCAAACCCUUCUCACCCUUGUGGUGUCACAUUCAGCGUUUUUGUCAGAAUGAUACAAAAGAAACACACUUCCUGUGCAGUCAGCUUCCUGUUUCCAGCCUGUGGUCAGGUGGCUGUUUUCCUUUGCACUAAUAGAGCUUGUGUUAGUGCAAAGCCAUAGAUACCAGGAGCCAAAGAGCAAAGGGAAAACCAGACGUUCAGGCGGCCCCCAAAAUCACCUCUUGGGAUAUGUAAUCAAUAAUUGACAGCAUCCUAAGAAGUCCAAUACUCCGAAAGGUAUUGUCCCUUCCCAACAGUGCCACCACUGGGACUAAGACUUUAACACAGGGACUAUAGGGUCACACUUCUCCCAACCACAGCGCCCACUUACAAACUGUUUCAUGUAUCGUUGUUUGAUGAGGAGUAGAAACUCGUAGCUGACUGGCUGACCUUGGGCCGUCCUUGACAUUUCUAAGGCGCACUUAUUUCCUCUUUAAUUGAGCUUCGUGGCCUGUGUUUCACUGCCCUUUACAAGCACUCGGUCACAAACAACGUGAGUGGAUGUCUACAAAAGGAAAACAGCCGCCUGCACUGUGGGCACAUCCCAGAAGUGUUUGAAGCCUUGGAGUCAGGAGCACACAAUCCAGGAAUGGCAGCAGAAACCUUUCAAAGGCUCCAUCAGGACUGGGACAUGGCUCAGACAGCAAAGGGCUUGCCCUGUGAGUGCGAAGGCCUGAAUUUGACCCUCAGAAGCCAUGUAAAAAGAAAAUCGUAGUGCUACACCCAGUGAGGGAAGCAGACAUCUGUGGAUGUCUUGGGCUUCCUGGCCAGCGAGCCUAACCUAACUGGUGAGUCCCGGAAAGGCACCUCAAACAAACAAAACGAAGAGGAGGACUGUCAACCAACGAUCUACAGCGCCCUCACUAAUCUCACCUCCAAAAAGUGCUGGCCCUUCCCAAUAAUACCACCACUGGGUGAUACUGUCCUCUGCCCUCCAUACGAACACACAUGUGUUUACAUGUGAGUCUACGUCAAAGAAUGUUAGUUUUGUCCUGGUGAGUAAGGUUUGAAAUGGAGAAAGACUCAAGAUGUUUGCCAAACCUUUGUUAAUCGUUCAAGAUUUUGCCUUGACCAAUAAUGGGGUCCUGACAAUACCCUGUUCCUGCCCCUGCCCCUGCCCUUGCCCCUGCCCCUGCCCCUCCCCCUCCCCUGCCUCUGCCCUUCCCCCUCCCCCUCCCCCUGCUCCACUCUGCAGUGUCUGCAUGGCAUUUUCUCCUGACCUGUAACCUUAACUAAUUCCAAAGUGAAACAGGUAUGUAGGACGGAUCAGUUCCUCGCCUUCUUCCCAUGAAUAAUGGCUCACUGCUACUCUUGGGAAAUUAUUCCUUCUCAUUAAAAAGUGACCUCUACUAAAUAUGCUGGCAUGUGUCUUAAAUCCCAGUACUCCAGAGGCAGAGGAUGGCAAGUCUUGAGUUCGAGGCCAGAAUGUUCUGCAAAGCAAGGUUCCAGGUCAGUCAGGACUACAUAGAGAAACCCUGUCUUGAAAAGAACAAAGCAAACCAAAACAAGCGACCUCCAUUCCAUGGAUAGGGUCCCCUUUCGUGUCUCAUCAUACCACUACACCAGCCCCAUUCGGCUGUAGAAACCAUCUCGCCCUUGCAGCACUGAUUUGGCAAUAAACAAAUCAAAUCACAAGAUGAUGGUGGGUCACAUGACACUCAUUUCCCUCUUAGGGUGAGCGCCAGCCACUUACCCAGUAUCAGGUCCUUAGAUGCUCCUUUACUCUGAGAGUCUCUCACAUUAGCUGUGAGGAAAUCAAGAGUUACAGAGAUGACAACUGCUCCUGAGAGCGAUAAAUCAAAUAUGGAAUCUGAUUAUGAGCUGACCAGUUAAAUGAAAGGACAGCCCAGGCACCGUUAAUAAGAGAAUUAAUUGUAAGUCUCUCCUCAUCUCCAUACAUUUGGCUGCCUAUUAAGAUAAUGAAUCAAUUCUCCAAGAAUGGGUCUGAAAACACACUCAAUCAGACUCGGCCAGAAAAAAAAAAUCAUUAUUUUCCUGACCCCGUGAGAUGCAUAUUUUUACCCAAACAAUUUCAAAACGGGCUUUUCAGGGUUUUGAAAAGAGUCCGUGACCUUUCGAGGAGCCCCAGUUGAAAUCAGAAGUUUGAAGAGAAAAAUCUCAUUAUAAAGAGAAUAAUUUGGGAGAUGUGACACCCAAGUUUUCUUUUGAUUUAAAUAAUGUCUUCAGUAGAGAUUUCUGAGUUGAAGUUGGGGAUGGGUGUCGCCUCUCUUCAAGAAUUUCCCAGGGGACCUCGGACAGGGUGUAAGCAAAAUGCAAACUUUGGGUUUGGGGCUGAGGGUUUUUUUGUAAUUAUCCAAAAGUAUGAAAAGGGAUAAAGCAGGUCCCUUGAGGCCAAACAAGAAGGAUGUGGAGGUAGGGUGUGUAUGUGGGGUAUGUAUGUAUAUGUACACAUCAUAUGUGUGUGUAUCUAUAGGUGUGUGUAUAUAUGUAUAUAUGUGUGCAUAUAAAUAAGCAUAUGUGUGUGUGUUUAUGUAAAUGUGUGUACAGGUGUAUAUAUAUGUGUAUUUGUAUAAAUAUGUACAUAUGUGUGUAAAUAUGUGCAUAUAUGUGUAUGUCUAAAUAUGUAUAUGUGUGCAUGUAUAAAUAUACAUGUAUGUGUAUAUAUGUGCAUUUAAACAUGUACAUGUGUGUAUAUGUGUGUAUGCAUGUAAAUAUGUAUGUGUGUGUAUAUAUGUAUAUGUGUGUGUUAUAUAGGUGUAUAUGUAAAUAUUAUAUAUGUGUGUACAUGUGUGUAUAUAUGUAUGUAGAUGUACGUAAGGUGUGUGUACAUAUGUAUAUGUGUGAAUAUGUACAUAUGUGUUUAUAUGUGUGUACAUAUGUAAAUGUGUGUAUAUGAUAUAUGUGUGUAUAUGUGUAUAUAUGUAUACAUGUGUGUAUAUAUGUAUGUGUAUGUAAAUAUAUGUGUAUGUGUAUAUAUGUGUGUGUAUAUAAACAUAUAUGUAUAUGUAUAGUCAUAAGAAAUGCAGAAGUGGAGGCUUCUGGUGAAAUUCAAAACAUGCUAUUGUCUUUCUUUUUGCCUGGGAGUGGAAAAGCCCACGUUAGGUUAAAAUUCAAGGGCAGAGUCCUAUGUUUGAAGCACUUUUCCUUAUGUAAGAAAGGAAUAUUCUGAGAGAAGAAUACAAAGAACUUCAGCAAGGUUUUGGGUAACUCCCUGGGAAUGUAUUUACAUAGAGGAUAAAUUGAGCAUGUUCAGGGAACACUUGGUGACUUCCAAUACAUUGUCAUACAACUUCCUAGACACCCAGGCCUUUCGCAGUUCUCUCUGUGACCUCCCAAAGAGUGUCCCACGUGUCACCCUGAUGAAAGAUCUCAGGUGCAGGCUCAAAGGGACAAUGAGACAGACUAUUAGAGGUUAAAGUUUAUUAGAAGGAUUACUCAUGCUAUGCACAGACAGACAACACCACAGCCAGGGCUCUAAGGAGAAUUCAGGCCCAAAAGGUAGGGCUUGGGGUCUCUUCUUAUAGGUCUCUGACAGCACAAGCCUGUAGCUGGACUCUUUGAUUUCUGAUGUGGGGGCAGGGGAGAGUUAGGGAACGGGAUGAAUGACCACCAGUACCCAGUAGCAUGCAAACUCUCUUCCCAGGUGAGAGAUCCUGGCACCUGUCCGUCUGUUAGCUAGAGACCCACAAAAGUGGCCUCGGUCGGUGUGUGUCAUUCUGUCAGUAUCAAUGAGAGGGGAAGGGCUGCUGUAGGUUUUGUGGGCUAGUCGCAGUCUGGUCUAGAUUCUAUCCCUAUGCUCAGCUCCAUCUAUCUGCCACACACACUCAGGUACACACACGGAAGGGUCUCCACUGUCUUUUAGCUUCUAGCCUGCCUUAGAGUUAUACCGAAUAAACUUGGGACCAAACUGAACACUGAAUUCACCUUCCCCACAAACUGCUUCAUGACUUUAAUUUGUUAUGGCUGGUGUCAUUUUUUGAGACAGGGUUAUGUAUAGCCCAGGUUAGCCUCAAAUUCAAUAUAUAACAGAAGAUGACCUUGAACUCCCGAUCUUUCUGCCUCUACUCCCAAGUCUCAAGAUUGCACUCAUUCCCCCACCAAGCUCAGCUGCUCUGAGCUCUCCCUUACAACCUCAUUAUUUCUCUUCCAAGUUGCCCCUGGGAAGACCAUCAAGUUGCUUCUCCAUGGGUCACAAAAGCUCCACCCAGCUAGACGUGUGCCUCUUUCUCGGGGGUUACUAUCUGUAUUAACCUCACACUGUUUGCAGAGUUAGGUGAAGGAGUGGUCAAAGGCUGCUGUUGGAAAGCGAUCUUUCUUCUCCCCCAUGUACAACAGCCAGGCGUCCCUAAAUGGCUCACCCAGUACAGUGGUUUUCAUGGCAACCAGAUUGCCCAACAUGGACUCUGAGCUUCACCACAGGCCCCCUCUGUGACCUUGAGCCAGCUGCUCAAAGUCUCCACUGCCCACAAUGCUUCGUCAGUAAAAGGAGUAUAAUUGCUCAGUCUGUCCCACCAGAUCAUUAUAAAUGAUUCUUCCACAGUGUUUAACGUAUCUCCUGGUUCUCGUUGCACAGUGAGAACAUGUCUGCUAGCAUGGGUUGGCAUCAGUUGCAGUAACAAAAACAAAAACAAACAAAAAACAUAUACAUGCUCUGUGUCUUAAAAAUUCAUCCUAAGUAAUGUUCACUCUUACUACACGUAGCCCUGAGCUCUGUCCACUGAUACCCUCAGGAAACUACAGUAAAGGAACUGUCAGAUGUUCAUCAUGUCAGAGUGAGGGAAAGAGAGAGUGGUAGGUCACAAUGGCUCUAGAACAUUCCACCAGAAGUCAUGUGCAUUCCUGGGGUCACAGGAUGGCCUUCCAUGCCUGGUGGUUUACCCAACCACAGAUCACAGAUACUCAACAACAAAAACAUGUGUCUAAUGCAGAACAGAUGCGUCUUUCCUGCCUUAAUGCCCCAGAGUCCUCGAAAGCACUGGGACCCGUGUGUCAAUUCCUGAGUUCAGACUUUUCAGGGUCUGAAAUUUACAUCGCAGAGUCCUUUGUUCACUCCCCUUCCUGCACGGCCAGGAAAACACCACUUGGAAUGUCUUCAGCUCGAGGGAGUUUGUUGAGCUCAAACAGACCGCAAGCUCAAACCGAACACUUGUAGAAUCUCAGAACUGUGAUCCGUGUUAAACUCCGGUGUCUUUUCCUGUGCCUGCCUCGUCACGUAUGAACCGAAACAUCAACGUUUCGUCUGCGGUCCCCGGAGGAAGAGGUGGGGCUAUGUAGUUCUUCUUGGCCCUCUACCUGCGUCUAUUUCCUGCUUGUAUUUGGAAGGUCAUCUCUCCUGUUUACAAAAUUCAAUAAAUAGAAACUCCAGCCUUCAAA